rnacentral:lncRNA from 1 species
UUCAACCAAACACAAGAUUACUAUUACGCCUCUAUUCCAUUACAUUCAACCAAACAGUGGAUUAGCUAUUACACCUCUAAUCCAAUACACAUCUAAUCCCAAUACACCUCUAAUCCAAUACACCUCUAAUCCAAUACAGCGAACCAAACGCACCCUAAUUGUUAAAGAAAGGGAUACGUGGGCUCGUGAUUUACUGUCCUAUGUGAUCCCAUAUUUAAUUUAUUUUUAUAUUUAUUAAAUGUAUAAUAUAUAUAUAUAUAUUUUUUUUUUAAAUAUAGCAUAGUUUUUUGUACCACAAUUUUAGGGUCAAUUGAUAGAUUAAUUCCACGUUAUUUUAAGCCUAACCCAACAUAAACAUUUAAUUUUUUAAAGUUCAAUAUUUAGUUUAAAAUUAAAAUUCCUUGGAAAUUUUAAUUUAAAUAAUAUAUUUUUUAUUUAUCUUAAAAGUUAUAAUUUAAAGUUCAAAAUUCAAAAAUAAAACAUAUAUAAUAUUUAUCAUAAUGACAAAUAAUAUUUAAUUAAAAUAAAUUUAAAUAUUAAUUAUUUUCAUAUUUUUGAAUUAUAUUUAUCUUAACAUUAAAUUUAAAUUUAAUAUUUAUCAUAAAAAUAAAUACUAUUAUUAUAAAAAUAAAAAAAUUGUUAUUUAAUUAUUAUAAAUAUAAAUAUUACUUAUCUUAUUUACGAUAUUCCAUUAUAUUAUGUUUAAUAUAAAAUAAAUUUAAUAAUAGUCAAAUUAUUUUUCUUUCAAAAUUGAUGUUUUAAAUUAUUAUGUAAUUUAUUUGUUCCCUUAGGCUUAGUUUGGAUGGGCGGUGUGUUUUGCUCCGGUGAGGUUAAAAACAGCGGUGGCGGUGAGAUUAGUUACUAUAGCGGUGAGAUUAGAAAUAAUGGUGGAGUGUAUGUUUGGAUUCAAAUGCAGCUGUAGCGGUGAGGUGAGAAUAAGAAAUGACUAUUAAGGACAUCAUAUUAGAAUUGAUAUAUAAUAGAAGUUUUUUAAAUUAUUUUACUUUUUUAAAAUUAUUAAAAUAUGUGAAUUUAUAAAUUCAUUUAAUAAAAUAUUAAAAUGUAUCUUCCAAUAAUUUAAUGAAUUAUAUAAUUAAUUUAAAUUAUUUAUUAAUAUUUUUUGAAAAAAAAUGUUUUUACAUAUAUUAAUAUACAUAUUAAUAAUUGUUCUAUUAAGCACCUUUCUCUUUAAAUUUUCUAUUAAUAUACAUAUUAAUAUACAUAUAUGAUUUAUUUUUACAUAUAUUAAGCACCUUUCUCUUUAAAUUUUCUAUUUGUACCUAUACAACCACCCUUUGUUACAAAGAAAGGGCAUAAGUUGCAGAAGAUCGAUAAUGGCAGAAGUUGAAAAUGGUUGAAAAGUCCACAAAUUGAAAAGUUCACAAAAGUCCACUACCACAACCACAAUCAAACAUGGUUAAAAAUGGCAGAAGUUGCAGCAGCAGAAACACCACCAUCAGUACAGAGAAAAGUCCAAACAGCAGAAACCCAGAUCAUUAGAAUCAUAACAAAUAAAGCUUGAAGAAGGAGAUGAAUGACUUACCUGGAGCUUUGUGAAGUGAACUGAUUGCACAAAUUAAAGAAGGAGAAGCACAGAAGGAGGAGGAAAGAUAUGGAGAGUUAAAGUAAGGGUAUUUUUGGAGAGUUAAAAUACCAACAGCUCACUGCACCUCUAUUGCUGCUGAAAUCACCAACUGAUUUUCAGCUGAGCAGUGUGGUGGAGAUGCAAUCUCACUGCACUAACUUGCUGAACCAAACAGCAUAGCAGUGAGAUUGGCACCAUUUUUUCCCCCCAACUGCACCUCACUGGCUGUAAAAGCCAAACCAAAUGAAGCCUUAAUCAUCUCAAUUGCAAAACCUUUUCCCAGAUGUGAAAUCAAUUGCUCAUUAUCCAAGAAAAAUGUAGUGAAUAUAAUAUAAUUACAUUUUCUUAGCUUUAAAAUAUUAUUAUAAAAUUAAAAAUAAUUUAAAAACUAUAAAACUAUAAAUUGAUACAUAUAACUUGUAUGAAUUACCCAUCUCUUCUAAAAUUUAUCUUUUUAUUAUAUUUUUUUCUUCAUAAUUUUUUCCCAAAUUUUGAUCUCAAAUAGGAAAAAAGAAGAAAGUUAAUUAUACAAUUUUUUUUUAAAAUAUUUACUCUUGAAAAGUAUGUAGCAUCCGGGUGGAGCCAAGAGGGCUAGCAAGGGCUCGGCCCCCCUAAAAUGAAAAAUUUCACCUUUAGUCUUUUUAUAAUUUUAAAAAUUUUAAAUUAAUAUAUGAUAUUUUAGCCCCUCAAGAAUGAGAAAAAAAUAAUUUAAUCCUUUAAAAUUUAUAAAGAUAUAGACUAUUAAAAUGAUAAAAUUUCACUUUUACUAUUAUAAAAUAUACAAUUUUAUGUCAGCUCUCCUCAAAAUAUUUUCUGACUCCGCCCCUAGUAGUAUCUUUCUAACUAGAUGAUAAUGUUUUUUAAUUCAUCGAUUAGAUCAUUUAUGUAUCUUUUUAUUAUGUUUACACAAAAAUAAAUAACAUAAAAUAAAUAAAUAAAUCCAAGGUGGGUUAAAGCCAUGGAAAUUGGUGUUGUUGUGGACCUCACUAUUAAUAUUUAUAGCUUAUAUCUUCAAGCUUAGGAUUUUAGGUUACAUAUUAUUAUUAAAUUUAUACAUAAAUUUCAUUUUAAUAUGUAAUUUGAUACAUGUAUUUUGAUAUGAUAUAAUUAUAUACGUGAAAUUUAAACUAUAAUUUAUGCGUAUAUGUAAAGCUUUAAUUUUGAUUCAAUUGUAUAAAUCUAAAAUUCUCAAAAAAUUUGUAUACAUUAAAAGAAAUGAAUACAUAUAUUUAUUUUCAUAUUGGACUAAUAUAAUUGUUUUUUUAUGCAAUAUAUCAAUGUAAAAUGGCACCAAUUCUAUAAUAUUGUUAGUGAUUUGUGAAAAUUGAAUCAAACAAAAUUAAUGUUCAUGUAUGACAUUACAUGUUGGAUCAAAGUUCAUGUAUAGUUUUAAUUUUUCAUCAUUUUUAUAGGUAUUUUCAUAUCUAUUUUACAAUCCUUAUUUGAGAUUCAUGACUACACCUCCCAAUAAUAUCAUCUCCUAAUUGAAUGUUAUUAUUUUUGACAUUUCAAAAUUAAUAAUAAUAUGCCCUUAAACUCAAUACUUAUUUACCUUAAAGAAUUGUCAAGAUAUAGAUUUUAUUAUUUUAACAUUAUUAGUGCACAUGAAAUGACUGAUACAUAUGUACUAAAAAAAAGACUCAUAAUUUUUUUUAAAUACUAAUCAAUCCUUAUGCUUAUUUACCUAAUUUUUAAUAAUUUGUACUUUAUAUUAAAUCCUUAUCCGACACAAAAAAAAUAUUAAUAUAUUUUUUAAUAUUAAUUUCAUUAUAGGUUCUUAUCAUAUUUAAUUUUUUUAUACAAUGUCUAAAAUUACCACUAGCCCCUCCUCAACCCAUAAGAUAAUGCACUUCAGCGCACUUGAACCCACGUCCUCCUACACUGGCAACAAUGCCAAUACUAAUCCAGCUAAGAUACUUUUAUAAAAAUAACAAAUAGUAAUAAAAGAGGUAUUUUUUUAUCUUUUCAUGGUUUUAAUAAAAUAAUUUUAUAAUAGGAUUUGAAUUUGAGACAUGAAUUUUAAACUUUUAACUUUAUCAUUUUAACCAAGACCUCACCUAAUUUUAAUAUAAAAUUUUUAUAAAUAUAUCCUUUUACUUUUUCUUUUCUCUCAAGUGAGUGUGCCAUGGAGCUAGUGGGUUUUAAAAUUCAUAAUUUUUUACAGUUUUAACUUAAGUGUUACUAGUAACUACAACAUAUUAAAAAGCACCAUAGAUAAAAAUCGAAAAGAAUAAGAAAAAAUAUUAUAUAAUAUAGGUACAUAAUAAAAUUAAAAACUUGCACAUCACAAUUACAUAUAGUAAAACUUGAACCUUAAUACAUAAAGACCGAAAGACUCACAUUAAUCAACAAUACGAAGUCCUAGUUCCAUAAUUUUUUAGAGUUGUUUUGAGAUUCAUACGAAUAAAACUAACAUAAAAGUUUUACUUAUUUUAAUUUAAAACUCAAUUCUGUUGAAUAACACAUUUUCUCUGUCUGCUGAAUAGCACGUUGUAUCGAAAUCUAGGGUUUUGGGUCGAUUUCAAAUCCUGCAAAUUUUGAAAGAAUAUUUAUAAGCAUUAAAAAAAUGGACGAAGAUCUUGCAAAUUUGAAUAUAUCAAGUGAUGAUGAAGAAAUCAUAGAAUGGCAAAGCAUCGAUGAAAAAGAGGAUGAAGAAUACGAAUUGUGUUUGGUUGGGAAGGUAUUAACAGAGAGUGUGGUACACUUUCCAUCCAUGAGAUGGACACUAGCAGAAGCAUGGCAUCCAGUGAGUGGAAUUUCUAUUACUGAUUUGGAAGAAAAAAUAUCUUUAUUUAGGUUUUAUCAUGAAAUUGAUAUUAAAAGGGUUUUAAGGGGAACACCGUGGUUCUUCAACAGACACCUUGUUUUGCUUCAUCGAUUGGAAAAAGGGGAGCAACCACUGCAAGUUCCUUUAAGUUUCACAAAAUUUUGGGUACAAAUACACAAUUUACCAGGAGGGUUCAAAUCCGAGGGAAUGGCACGCCAACUGGGGGAUUUUAGUGAAAAUUUUAUAGAGUAUGAUGUGAGGUCAAUCACUAGGGGAAUAACAAAAUUUUUGAGGGUAAGAGCUAAGUUGGAUGUUCGCAGACCACUAAAAAGAAAGAAGAGAAUAACUAUCGGUCAAAACAAAACCAUAUAUACUAUGUUUAAGUACGAAAAACUCUUUUUAUUUUGCUAUCUUUGUGGCAGAUUAGGGCAUGGUGAAGGUUUCUAUCCAGUCACAAGAAGUUGUUUUUGGACGGGAUUUAUCAUUAAGAGCACCAAUAACAAUGAGAUAGGCGGAAGAUUGGUAUCUAAAUCGAUAUUAGAAGGAAAAUUGGAAGGCAAAUCAUUUGUAGAAUGAUAAUUGGGGGGUACUGAGGAAAGGUCGAUUGGAGUUAAUCAAAACAAUAAUAUAGGAUAAGAAAGAAGAUAAAAGGAGAUUGUUCAGCAAGAAGGGAUGAAUUAUGGAGGAGAGGAAGUGAGGUUUACGGAACUUGGUUCUGACACAGAGGAAAUCCUUAUUGGAAUGGUUGAUACUAAGAAAAGACAGAUGUUCUCGGUGAGUUCUAUUGUUUCCCAUAUAGAGGAUUCGAAGGACUCAAAAAAUUCUCAUUCUUUAUAUAUGGUUCUUGAAAGGUAGACCGACCAGUCACAAUAAAAAUACUAAGCUAGAAUGUCUAGAGAUUGGGGUACCCACGGGCAGUAGGGCGUUUCAAAAACAAAGUGAGACAUAUUCAACCACAAAUUUGGUUUCUCAUGGAAACCAAAGUAUACACAAAAAAGAUGGAACGAAUUCGAAGAAAGUGUAGUUUACAGAAUGGCAUUGAUGUUAAUGCCAUGGGUUUUAAGUGAGGAUUUUCGUUGGGAUGGAAGCAAGGGUGUAACAUUCAAUUAUGAAGCUUCUCAACAUCACACAUUGAUGUUAACAUCAUAGAAGAAAAUAAAGCAAAAGUUUGGAGAUUUAUGGGAUUUUAUGGAUCACCGAAAAAAACCCGUAGGAGGGAUUCUUGGAAUCUGCUAAGACAGUUAAAUAAUGUCAACAAUCUAAUAUGGCUUGUGGCAGGAGACUUUAAUGAAAUUCUUUUUCUUUUGAAAAGAAGGGAGGGCAUCAAUGAGAAGAAAAUCAAAUGGUGGCAUUUCGUCAAGCUCUAGUUGAUUGUAAGUUUACAGAUUUAGGAUUUUCAGGUCAGUGAUUUACAUGGAAAAGAGAAAGGUUACCGAAUAAUAAUAUAUGUGAAAGGCUUGAUAGAAGAGUGGUGAAUUCAGAAUGGUGGUCAAUGUUCCCAAAUUUUUGGGUAAGGCACCUCAUGCAUUCUAUGUCAGGUCAUUGCCCAUUACUUGUUAAUGUCCUAGAUAGAAGUUCAAAGCAGAAGGGACAGCGAUAGCCAAAAGUCAGAUUUAAUACAAAUUAGGUAAUUGAAGAAGGUUUAGAAAACGAAAUUCAAAAGUGGUGGGAAGAAGACUAAAGGGAAGUUCCUACUUGAAGUAAUGGAAAAUAAAUUAAAUCUUUGGGCUCAAGCGAAUCAACUUGGGAGGCAGCGUCACAUAGAUUCCUAGAACACAAAACUACUAGAGCUAAAUGCGAAGAAUCCAAAUGAAAAAAAUUUGGUAGAAUUAACAAAUAUUAAGAUUGCACUAAAUUUAGAAGUAGACAAGGAGGAGUUAUUUUGGGAACAACGUGCAUGAGCUAAUUGGAUACGGUUAGGGGAUAGAAAUAUGUCAAACUUUCAUAGUGUUGCGUUAACUAGAAAGAAAAGAAACACAAUUAUAAAGCUGAAGAACGAUAGUGGGGAAUGAGUUAAAGAUGAGAAAACUAUGGCAAAUGCCGCAAUGGUCUAUUUUACAGAAUUGUUUACGGCUUCCUCCACACACUACACCAAAACAGGCUUUUAGCGGCACUUUUAGUGGCGUUUGGACAAAAAACGCCGCUAAAAAUCAAGCAUUAGCAGCGCUUUACACAAAACGCCACUAAAGAUCAAGCAUUAGCGGCGCUUUUAGGAAAGAACCUAAGCCCAACGACAUCUUUUUUGACCUAUCAGAUCUUUAGCGGCGUUUUUAAAAAAGCGUCGCUAAUGCUCAGAUCUUUAGCGGCGUUUUUGAAAAAGCGCCGCUAAUGCUCAGAUCUUUAGCGGCGUUUUUUGAAAAAGCGCCGCUAAUGCUCAGAUCUUUAGCGGCGUUUUUGAAAAAGCGCCGCUAAUGCUCAGAGCUUUAGCGGCGUUUUUGAGAAAGCGCCGCAAAAAUAUUUUAUCUGUCUAUUUACUAUUUAAUUUGUUUAUUUAUAUUAAUUAAAAUUUAAUUUAUUUUUAAUUGAAUAUUUGUUAAAUGGAUAAAUUUGAAAUAGUGACACAUAGAAAUAAUUUGAAAUAAAAAAACAUAGAAAAAUUUUUGUUAAAAAUGGAAAAAUUAAAAUACUAUUAUUUAAAAUAAUUUUAAAAAAUUUUAGGUAGAUGACUGAUUGAUUUUAAUUGUAAAAAAUACGAUAGUAUUAAUUUUAAAAUAUUUAAUUAAUUAUCAUUAUAGUUUAGGGUUUAAUAUAUAUGGUUUAGGGUAUAUGGUUAAUUUAGGAUUUAAUGUCGGUUUAGGAGUUACAAUUUUAACAUUUAUAGAUUAUGGAAUUAGGGAUUAAGGAUUAGAGAUUCUAGUUUAAGGGUUGUGAUUUAGGCAUUAGGGGUUAGAGAUUAAGAGUUAGGGAUUUAAGGUUUAUGGAUUCGAUGUCAGGUUAGGCUUUAGGGUUUAGAUUAAUUAGUGUGUUUUAUUUUUUUAUGAAAUAAGNNNNNNNNNNNNNNNNNNNNNNNNNNNNNNNNNNNNNNNNNNNNNNNNNNNNNNNNNNNNNNNNNNNNNNNNNNNNNNNNNNNNNNNNNNNNNNNNNNNNNNNNNNNNNNNNNNNNNNNNNNNNNNNNNNNNNNNNNNNNNNNNNNNNNNNNNNNNNNNNNNNNNNNNNNNNNNNNNNNNNNNNNNNNNNNNNNNNNNNNNNNNNNNNNNNNNNNNNNNNNNNNNNNNNNNNNNNNNNNNNNNNNNNNNNNNNNNNNNNNNNNNNNNNNNNNNNNNNNNNNNNNNNNNNNNNNNNNNNNNNNNNNNNNNNNNNNNNNNNNNNNNNNNNNNNNNNNNNNNNNNNNNNNNNNNNNNNNNNNNNNNNNNNNNNNNNNNNNNNNNNNNNNNNNNNNNNNNNNNNNNNNNNNNNNNNNNNNNNNNNNNNNNNNNNNNNNNNNNNNNNNNNNNNNNNNNNNNNNNNNNNNNNNNNNNNNNNNNNNNNNNNNNNNNNNNNNNNNNNNNNNNNNNNNNNNNNNNNNNNNNNNNNNNNNNNNNNNNNNNNNNNNNNNNNNNNNNNNNNNNNNGCCGCAAAAAUCCAAUUUUAGGAAAUGGGCGAGACCAUUUAUAACCGCCAAAUUUUCCCAUCCCAUGAAAUCCCCUAAUCCUUCCCAUGGCCCUUCCCAGUACCCUUUCUAUUCACCAAGUCCUUUCUCCUAUUACCCUUUCCCCUCUCCCUUUCUCUCUUUCCUCUUCACCUGACCCUAUCAAAGAAACCCAGCUUUCCAUCUCGGUACCAGACGACGAUGUUUUGAACUCCUUCUUCAUCGUUUUCUCUACUUCCCCUUCUUCUUCUGCUCUCAAUGGCUAUCCCCGCCGCAAACGUUUAACAAAAAAACACCCUUUUGUUUAUACCCAAUACCAGUGUUUUUAAUGAUGUGUUGCUUUUUCUCAUAAUAAAAAACAAAUUGUUUUCAUCAUACUUUAUAUGGCUAAUGGCUAUUUUAAUGUUUUUGAAGUGUGGAUGUUCUUGAGAGUGGAAUCUCAAUUUUUGACACUGGACCUGGAAUGGACAACAGUGAUGAAAACUCUAUUGUGAAGUGGUAUGUUUAUAUGAAGUCCUUUUUCUCUUCUUUUAUAUUUAUGUUUUUUUUUUGUUACGACUUCUUGGUUUGGCACUUUGGGUUACUUUUCUUCUGUAGUCAGGUAAGACAGAAGUUAAGUUAUGGUUGAUGUAUUCAAUUGCUACACUUUUCAAGUAGCCUUUUAGAUUUUCUCUCAUCCAUCCACACCGGUUUGUUCAUGGUUCAAAGUUUCGAACUUAAGUGGGAUAUAUUUUGGAAGGAAAUAUGCACUAUAGACUUCUACUGGUUGUGUUUCUUAAUUAUAAUUUUUCUUUUGAGUUUUGCUAAUGAAUUCAAGUUUAUUCCACUUAUUCUAUUCAGGGGAAAGAUGGGUGCCUCGCUAAACAGGUUAUAUAAACAACAAGCAAUAGGGUGCAAGCCACCAUUCUUAGUGGUACAAAAUCUGUGAAACUCAUGUAUUUCUUUGGUUAGACGCAUUAGUAUCUCUGUCUGAGAUUUGACAUAAUUGAAGCUUGCCUUUUAUGUUUGCACACAAAGAUUCUAAUGUUAGUUAGAAGCUCUCACUUUGGCUUUCAUAACAAUGCAUCCCUUUUUUGGCAUGUUUGGAUAUGGAGGACCUAUUGCAUCUAUGAAUCUAGAGAGGUAUAACCUAUUUGACAAACCACAUGUCCUUUCCUCUGUUUUAUGCUGAUAGAAUCAUUUCCUAGAGACUUAAUAGAUUUUUGUAGUUAUAUAUUUUCUUGUCUUCAUAUAGUUGUGUUGAAGUCUCUUCCAAGACAAAACAAUCCAAGAAAGUUUACAAGUUACAUCUUGCACGAGAGGCUUUACUUGGCAAUUCUGGCUCUGAAUGUAGUUGGAGUGUAGAUAGUCUUAUUAUUAAUUUCCCUAAAGAAUAAGUUUUAUAGAAUUAUUUUUGUAUGAAAUUUUCUCAGGAGGUUUGUUGCAUUAUGUCAUCAAAUCUUUUACAUUAGACUGAUGGAGGCAUUAGGAUCCUUUUGAUGAAGAAAUCAAGGAGUCACCCCAUGGGAGCUUUACAAAGGUUUACUCUUCUGUAUGUUCCCUUUAAUUUUCAUAUAUUGUUGUUUUUGAGGUUAGAUCCUGCAUUCUAUUUGUGCUUAAGAAUCAUUUUAGCUAGGUGAGCUGUUUGCGUUUUAUUUGUCUCAGUUCAUGUAUUUAUAGUAUGAUUCUUCACAGGUGGUGAUAUUAAAUCCUGUAGUGAGAAACUUGGACAUAUCUAAGCUCCAAUGUAAGCUGAAAGACAUAUACUUCCCAUAUAUUCAUGUGUGAGUUUAUCCUUUGACUUCAUGUAUUGUGAUUUAAUUAAGAUUUGCCAAUGAAACGUGGCAACAUGUUUCUCAUUUAGUUGAGUUUCUUUUUUCUGAAUUUUGGGUUCUGUUGAAACUAAAAAUGGGCAUCAUCCUUUCUCCUUUUGGCAUUUUUUUCCAAUUACAUUUAGACCUGCCAAAUUGGCUGGUGUAUGCACAUAUAUUUAUGUGCUUUUCUGUUAUAUUUUUAUGUUGGAAUCUGUUCUAGCUUUCAACUAAUAACUGUAAGCAUUUUGAAUUUCGUUGUCAUCUAUUCUAACCUACUAUUUAGUAGUAACAUUUUCAGUUUCAACUUUUAAUCGUAAUCCUAAUUGCCUUCAUUAACAAAAAUUACAUUUUCAGUUCUAAUCGUUUUCAACUUUUGUUUAUACCCAAUCCUCAAAUUACAUUAUCAUUCAAAUCAUGAAUGAUAAAUUUGAUAUUCUGAAAUAGGCUCCUUGUUGCCCCCCCGCCUGAAAAAAUGGCCCUCUGAACAGUUGUGGGAUCUGUAAAUUAUGAGGACUUGGAUUCUUGAAGACCUUUGACACUAUCUUGUGCUAGAUUAUUAUGAUGGCAGUGUCAAGUUACUCUAUGUAACUUAUGAUUUGUAGCUCAAAUAUUUUCUUUAAUCAGUACAAAAUGAUGAUAAACACGCAGCAAGGGGGCUCGAUUCAUGAAGGAAGCCAGUUUUUUAUUUGUUCAAACAAUUGAAACAAAAUUCAAAGAUCACUUACUCCUAAUAACUAUUAGAGCUUUGAUGAAGGUAGCUCUUCCCCGUCAAAGGCCCUCCUAUUACUUUCAUUAUUAAAGCUAAAAAAUAGAUAGACCAAAUGCGUCACUUCUCUACUCUCUGUACAAGCAUGUAUACCUCUCAAGUCCUUGCUCCUGCCACUCAACCCUGCCUGUAUAGCCCAUGUAAUAAUCUACAUAGCAUAAGCUAAGAUGCCUUUGUAUAUAUAAAUAUAUAUUAGUAAUUUGAUUCAGUAAUGUGUCACCUAAAGACAAGGCAUAGUUGAAGCUGUCAAUAGAAAUCUAUAAAUUAAAAAAGAAAAAAAAGUCAUAAAAACUCCCUUGGAAUCAGCUUUUGUCAACUAAACACACUAACAAAAUAAAUAAAAAAAACAAGUUCUGAAACAUAAGAUUGGUUGGAGAAAUGAGAGAUCUUUCUUCUCUAAUUAAUAAAUUGAGAGGUUCAAAAGAUUCUAUUCAAGUGUGAGAGAGAAGAAGCAAAUUUAUGAAGGCAAGCUAUUAGCCUGUGUAAGGAAAGAGUUACCCCAUGAAAUGAAUGUUUGUUUGCGAGCCAUUAUAGUAGGAAGUGGUGCAUUUAAAUGAGUGAGUUAUACACUGCUUGAUGAGAGUGCAACUACCUCUCAUCUCUCACUAUUUAUUUAAUAAUUGUUAAGUAUUCUUAUUUUUAUAUCAUAUUCAUGUUAUCUUUUAAUGANNNNNNNNNNNNNNNNNNNNNNNNNNNNNNNNNNNNNNNNNNNNNNNNNNNNNNNNNNNNNNNNNNNNNNNNNNNNNNNNNNNNNNNNNNNNNNNNNNNNNNNNNNNNNNNNNNNNNNNNNNNNNNNNNNNNNNNNNNNNNNNNNNNNNNNNNNNNNNNNNNNNNNNNNNNNNNNNNNNNNNNNNNNNNNNNNNNNNNNNNNNNNNNNNNNNNNNNNNNNNNNNNNNNNNNNNNNNNNNNNNNNNNNNNNNNNNNNNNNNNNNNNNNNNNNNNNNNNNNNNNNNNNNNNNNNNNNNNNNNNNNNNNNNNNNNNNNNNNNNNNNNNNNNNNNNNNNNNNNNNNNNNNNNNNNNNNNNNNNNNNNNNNNNNNNNNNNNNNNNNNNNNNNNNNNNUUUUCUUGUGAUGGCAACUCUCUGUCUUGUGUUAGAACUUUAAUUAUUAAAUCAAUCUGUCUCUAACAUAUACUCCCAAAUAUCCUAGAUGUUGGUACUAACAAUCUAAAGCUAAUUGAACACCCACUUUAUGAGUAAAAUAUGUGCUUAUUUACUUUGUUAUUCAUAGAAUGGAACAUAUGAAAUGCUUGUUGGUACUUUGUUUUAUUUACCGAUUGUGGAGAUUUCUUCUGAAAUGUUUCUCUUUGGGGGUUUGGACAGAUUUAGGACUAAGACAACCAAGGUUAGAAGGGGAAGAAUAUUUAUCAAUAAUUGAUGAGUUCAUCAAAGCAAUUUUAACACGUUAGCCUGAGGCUAUUGUACAGGUUUCUCUCUUUCAGAAGUGAGACUUUUGUUUUAUGCUGAUACCAUGAUGUUUAUUUGAUGGUUACCCCAUUUAGUUUGAGGAUUUUCAAAUGAAGUGGGCCUUUAAAACUCUGAAACGCUAUCGGGAAAGGUUUUGCAUGUUUAGUGAUGACGUACAGGUGAGCACUUGGCCCAGCAAGUUGCUACUUUUAUGGAUAGGAUUAGAUUCUAGUGUAACUUAGAUUGCUGCAGCAUCACUAUGAAUGCCACAAAUAUUAGAAAGUUGUGCUUACUUAAUUCUCUUAGGGAACUGCUGGAGUUGCACUUGCUGGAUUGUUAGGAACUGUAAGAGCACAAGGUCGAUCUUUGGAUGAUUUUCCAAACCACAAGAUUGUUGUGGUGGGAGCUGGAAGGUAUUUGGCUGACUCAUAAAGCUUAGUCUUUCAAUCUUUCACCAUAAUUUUUCUACGGCUCCUUACAUCCAUUCACUCACAGCUUUAUUUCUCAUAAAAACUUUUCUUUCUGGCUUCCAGUGCAGGGCUUGGUGUUCUUAGCAUGGCUGUUCAAGCUGUUGUAAGGAUGAAAGGAAUUGCAGAUACAGCUGCACAGAACUUCUUCCUACUUGAUAAAGAUGUACAAUUUUGUACCUCUUUUCUAGCUUUUUUCAUCCUAUUUGUGUAAAGCCUUUUAUGUUCUUUUAGAUAUGUAAUGUCCUUUCUCUUGUGUAAUGAAGAUGUGGAUUUUAUGAACUAAUCAUGUAAAAAUGUUUUGCUAGAAAAUCAUCUGCGGAUUUCUUUUUACGAUAUCUACUUCAUUCAUAGUUUUCUUUUUCUUUUUAGUUUCUUACUUCUACGAGAAAAUCAUUAUGGUUUGACUCUAGGAAUUUAAAUUUUCUAAUUUUUNNNNNNNNNNNNNNNNNNNNNNNNNNNNNNNNNNNNNNNNNNNNNNNNNNNNNNNNNNNNNNNNNNNNNNNNNNNNNNNNNNNNNNNNNNNNNNNNNNNNGCUAAAUUCAUUAAUUUUUUAUAUUUAGUUUUAAAGUUAAGAUUUUCAUAGAAAAUUUAAUUUAAAUAAUAUUUUUUAUUUAUCCUUAAAAGUAUAUUUAAAGUUCAAAUUUAAAAAAUAAAACAUAAUAUAAUAUUUAUCAUAAAAAUAAAUAUUAUUUGAUUAAAAUAUUUUUUUAAAGGUUAUGUUUUUAGCGGCGUUUUUGCUAGAAGCGUCGCUAAAGGUUUAUUCUUUAGCGGCGUUUGUGGCUAAAGCGUCGCUAAAGCUCACGAUCUUUAGCGACGUUUGUAUCUAAAGCGCCGCUAAAGAUCACGAUCUUUAGCGGCGUUUGUGGCUAAAGCGCCGCUAAAGGUCACGAUCUUUAGUGGCGUUUGUGAUAAAAACACCGCUAAAGGUCAAGAUCUUUAGCGGCGUUUGUGGCAAAAGUGCCGCUAAAGGUCAUGUUCUUUAGUGGCGUUUGUUAUAAAAGCGCCGCUAAAGUUAGCGGCGUUGUCAAUAGUUGCGCUUUUUGCGGCGCUUUAGUGGCGCUUAAAAGCGCCGCUAAAGGCAUAAAAAAGCGCCGCUAAAAGCUUGUUUUGGUGUAGUGACAGGAGAUUGUACUCAAACUCUAAUGGGUAUUCAUGUAACGAACUGAAAGUCUUCCGGGACCCCGCCUUAGCGAAUUGGGCUCAAAAAUAUUAUUAUUAUAUUUUUGGGAGUUACUCUAAAAGUGACUUAAAUGUUAAUUAGAUAAAUUUUAUUUAAAGAAACUAAAUUAAAUAAGAGAUAAAAUUAGUAGGAAUUACUAUUAAAUUUUAAUAUAGAACUAGUUAAAGGGACUUAUUAAGUAAAUAAGCCAUAUUAUAUAUAUAAAAUAGUGGAUGGUUUUAAUCUAUUUUAUUAGUAUUAUAUAAAUAUAAUAUAUUAGAAAAGAAAUAAAGUUAAAGAACAGAAUAAUAAGAAGAAGAGAUAAAAGAUAUAGUAGGUAAAAAAAAAGAUAGAGGGAUGGAGUGAAAUUUUCCUUUUUCUCUUUGCUGCUGAAAAAUAGAAGAAGAAUGGGGGAAGGGGAUGUUCAGCCAUGGGGGUUUAAUGCAUGUAUAAAAUUGUAAGUAAGGUUUGAUUAUUUUUGCAUGAAAUUAUGUUUUUGAUGAUAUAAUGUUAUGAGCUAGUUUACCCAUAAUGAAAUUUUGAGAGUGAAUGGAAAUUAUGAAAGUUACCAGGGAUGAGAAACUCAAAGGUUUGGGGUUAUUUUGUUGAAUACUAAAUGUCUUUGAGGUGAUGAUUUGAGUAUAAAUUUUGUAGACUAAAUUGGUCAUAUUGUGUGGUGAUUUUAUUGAUAAUAAUUCCUGGGGACUAAAAUGUUGUAAAUUCAAAAUAACAUAGCUUAGAUUGUUAAUUUUGUGAAGUAUAGGGACUGUUUUAGUGGACUGUUCUUAUGCUGGAAAAUUUGGGACUUAUUUACUAAGUCCAUUAAUUAUAUAAAUUAUUUUGUGAUAUGAAAUUGAUUAGCAAUAACUAGAAAUGAGUUAAAUGCUAUAAGUAAAUUUAGUAAAGUAUGACUUUAUUAAAUUUACGAUUAUUGGGGAUUGAUAAUAAAUUAAAUGUAUAUUUAGUGAAUUAUUAAAAUAAGAAGGAAAUAUGAUCAAUUAAAUUUUUUAUGUUAAUAUUAAUAGUUGAGAAUGAAUAAAUGACAAUUGUUGUUAAAUGAAAGUAUGCAUUAUAAUAUAAAUUUGAUUAAUUUUAGUAGAAACAAGAAUGGUAUUAAUUGAGCUAAUUGUUAAAAAUAGAUCAAGAGAAGAAUAGAGCGAGUAUAAGCCGUGGGAAGGAAAAGAUCAUUGAGUAGAUAUCCGUCGUAUUUUGGUAAGUUCGUGGACUCGAACUUAAUUUUACUUCUAUUCACUAUUUAAAAAUUUAUAAUGCUAAGUUAGCUCUUGUUAUAUAAUGUAUACAUGUUAUUAAAUUAAUGUCAAGGAAAAGAAAUGAGGAAUUUGUGGAAGUAAAUAAUUGUACAAUCGUCGAUAUAUUCGACCAGCGCUGGGCGCAAUCCUUGUCAGCUUGUCUAACUAGUUCAGGGCACACAACUGUCGGUUUAUCCAACUAGCGCUAGGCGCAAUCACCGUAUCCAUCACCGAAAUAGGGUUUCGAGGCAUUACCGGAGAUUACAGAACAUUUUCGGAUAAUUUGAGUAAUUUACAAUUCACUAUUUCUUCCUUUCAAUCACAAUUUCAAAUUACAGAUUCAUGUAAAUGAGCUCAAUACCAUUAGCUGUUUAAUUUUCGUCACUUAAAUUCACAUACACAUAAUUUAUUAACAUAACCUGUCAAACACAAUCUCUGAAUGAUGAGAUCACAUAAUUGAGCUCAAUUUCACUGUUCAAUAUGUUUUAUCACAUAAAAUUUGCUUAACACUUACCUCACAUUGCCAUAGUAUAACUAUGGUCUUGCACAUCGUCACAUAUCACACACCGAAGCCAUAGCCCAACUGUGGUCUUUCACGAAAACACAUCACACCGAUGCCAUAUCCUAGACAUGGUCUUACACAGAAAUCACAUAAUUAUAUUUUCACAUGUUGCCAUGGUCAAACCAUGGUCUUUUCUUUCAAUUCAUCACAUAUCACUGAAUGAAAGUACUCAUUCCUGCGUUCUACUCAAUUUGACCUCUUAGUUCCUUUUUCGUACUUUUACAAUAUUCACACUUCAAAUACGAACAUAUGAAAUGAUUCGUCAUUUCUUUCAUUUACUAACAAAUAAUUAUUAAAUUCAGCUAUAUGAAGUUAUAAUUUAAUUUUAUAACAUAAUGAUAAUCAUAAUUUCAUAAUAACUAUUUAAAAUAAAACAUUAUAUCAUUUCUAUUUCAAUAUUUAUCGAUUAAAAUCGGGCAAAUGACCAAUUUAUACACAAGUCAUUCAUAUAUUUUCCUCCUCCUCCUCUCCAUUCGACAUCCUUAAUGUAUAUAACACACUUAAACAACAUUAUCCAUACUUUUACUAUUUUCCUGUAUGUAAAUUCAAGCUGUCUGUCUGAGUCAGAGUCACUAAUUUAUUUAUAUCUCAAGCUACAGAGCUCCAACUUAAGAUCCGUUAAUUGUCCCCAAUCCAACUCCAAUUUCUUUGGUUCUUGAUCUAAAUAUAUUCAAAAUGAACUAGUUUAAUUAUUAUUCCAUUCUAUUUAGUCCAAAAACACAUAAAUGGGAAAAUUACCAUUUUGCCCCUGAUAUUUACACUUUUUGCAAUUUAGUCCCUAUUGCAUAAAACACAAAAUACACAAAAUUUGUCCACACUAUACAAGGGCGGAAUGUUCCUAGUAUUGCUACAAAUCCACACAUUUCAUUUAUUUCACAUUUUAGUCCCCCAAAAAUUUAAUUUCACAAUUUAGUCAUAAUUACUCAAUUUCACCAAAAAUUCAAAGACAAAACAUGUUAAUCUUUCACAUAUCUUCCAUAUUUCAUCAUCAACUAUCACAAAGCUCAAGCAUUCAUCAAUGGAAUAUCUCAAAAUCAACAUCAAAUUCUAAAAUUAAAGCAUGGGCUAGAUAGAAUACAAAGCAACGAUCACAAAAACGUAAAAAUCAUCAAAAACCAAGACCAAAACAUACCUUAAUCAAGCUAAACCAUUGCCGAAACCUAAGAAGCCAUAGUUGAGUUCCUUUCUAGCUAAUAUUCGGCUUGGAGAAGAUGAAUGAAUAAGAAAUUUUUGUUUAAUUUUAAUUAUAAAGUUUAAUUUAACAAAUGACCAAAUUAACCUUAUUAAUAAUAAUUUAUAAAACACAGAUACUAAGGUCACUAAUCUAAUUUAUGGGCUAAUUACUUCUUUACUCCUCCCAUUUUAAAAGACAACAACAAUUGGGUGCUUUUAAAUUUGACCCCUAAAUUUUUAUUUUAUGCGAUUAAGCCCUUUUUACCAAAUUGAGCACUCAAACGAUCAAAUUUUCAUACGAAAUUUUCACACAUAGUAAUUCACAUACUACAAAUACUAAAAAUAAUUUUAAAAUAUUUUUAUGACUCAGAUUUGUGGUCCCAAAACCACUAUGUCCGAUUAGGGUCAAAAUUGGGCUGUUACAAGAGUUGGGCUUACAAUUAUUAUUGUCGGUAUACCCGACUAGCACUGGGUGCAAAUAUUGUUGGUUUAUCCAAUUAGAGUUGGGGUCACAUUCAAUACUAUUGGUUAAUCCGACUAGCGCUAGGCGCAACCUCCUCUGCAGUUUACCACUAGGCACCGGGUGCCACGUCGCUAAUAGAUCUUGCGAAAAGGUUACUUGAAUUAUUGAAAGAGCUGAAAUCUUAUUUGGUUAAGUUAUAAUUACAUAUUAAUAUUGAUUGUUCUUGUGUUUAGCCAAUAAAUGGAACCUAUUAAUGAUAAAUUGAUUUACAUGUUGUAGGUUAGAAAAAUAGUAGAAUCGGAUUCGGCAUCCCGCAAGAAUCUCGUACUCAAUGUUGGUGUCGUUUCCUUUUGUGUUUUUGGCAUGUGCCUAAGAUGAAAAUUUAACGAUAACGUGUAACACCCCUUACCCAUAUCCGUCACCGGAAUAGGAUGCGAGGCAUUACCAGAACACAUACACUUGUAAACGUAUUUAACCGUACUAUAAAAUUUCAUCUAAAUUAAAACUUUCAAAAUUUUUAACAUGUUUUUAUAAUUCUUCACAAUAUCUCCUCUAAAUAUUAUAUUCAUAAUAAAUAGGGCCUACGAGACCCGAUUUAUAUUCAUGCAAUUCUCAAGUCUUAACAAUCCAAUGCUUCAUUUCUAUUUCAUUCAAUUCAUAAUUUCUCAUGUUCACAAUUCAAAUCAAUUUCUCAAUCCAAUAUACAUUUCAAUAUCACAAUAAUUCUUUUAAUUCAAAUCAUAUCACCAGCAAUAGAAAUUUCCAUUUACUUCUCAUACAAUUCAAUAUCAUUAAGUUCAAUACUAAUACGUAUUUACCAUUUAACUCAACAUUUAUCGAUUAUGCCAUUCAUUAACACAUUUAUAAAAUUCUUAAUUUUGCAAUGAAAACAUCGCUUUACCUUUUAAUUUAGCUAAAAUUAGAUCAUCAUCAAUCUCAUAGUAACUAUUUGAAAAAAAAAAACAUUACAUCAUUUCUAAUUCAACAUUUAUUGAUUAUGAUCGAAUAUAUGACCGAUUUAUACACAGGCCAUUCAUAUAUUUUCCAAUUUUCCUCAUCCUCCUCUCCAUUCCAGAUCCUUAAUGUAUAUAACACGCUUAAAGAACAUUAACUAUAUUUUCACUAUUUACUUACAAGUAAAUUCAAAUCUGUCUAUCCGAGUCAGAGUCACUAAAUUAUUUAUAUCUUGAGUUAAAAAACUACGAAGUAAGAUCCGUUAAUUUUAUCUGAAACUAGACUCGCAUAUCUUCUUACCAUAAAAUUUUCAUAAUUUUUUUCUUAGCCAAUAAGUACAGUUUAUUCUUUAAAGUCUCCCUUAUUUCACUGCUAGACAGUUCCGACCCUUUUCACUAAAAAUUAAUUUUCUCCUCGUACGGGGUUUGGAUGAUGUUUCUAUUUGUUUCUCUUGAAAAUAGACUCAUUCAUGAUUUUAAAUAUAUAAAUUUAAGCCCCUAAUUAUUUUUAUUUAAUUUUUUAUGAUUUUCCAAAUUCAGAACAGGGAAACCCAAAAUCAUUCUGGCUUGUCUCACAAAAUUUAUUAUAUCUCAUAAUUUACAAUCCCAUUACUUACAUUGUUUCUCCUAUGAAAAACUAGACUCAAUAAGCUUUAAUUUCAUAUUUUAUUCAUUCUCUAAUUCAAUUCCCACAAUUUUUGGUGAUUUUUCAAAAUUAAACUACUACUGCUGUCCAUAACUGUUUUAGUGCAAAAUGUUGAUUUCCAUUUUGCCCCAAAUUUCACAGUUCAUACAAUUCAGUCCUUGCUCAAUUAACCCCUCAAUUAAGCUAAUUUUUCUCAAUUAGUACUUUACCUAGACAUUAUAAGUUAUCCAUAAUUAUUGAAAUUCAGAAUUUCCUCAUAAAACCCUAAGUUGUUUUACUACUAGGUCCCAAACAAUCACUUUCUAUUCAAUUCUUUCAAUAAAAUCAACAUAGAAACAAUUUAAAGCUCUAAUUCCAUGCUAAAUCAUCAUAUACUUCCAGAACAUAUUCAUAGCAACUUUCAACUUCUUUCAUAGAAUCAAAAACUAAUGAAUUCAACAAGUGGGCCUAGUUGUAAAAGUCACAAAAACACAAAAAUUUCAAGAAAUAAUCAAGAAUUGAACUUACUUGCAAUAAAAAUAUGAAAAACCAGCUUAAGGAAACCCUUCUAUGGUGUUUUUGCUGAUGAGAAUGCAGAAAAAUAAAGAGAAAUCUAGAUAAUUCCACUUGGAUCCUAGCUGUAUUAAGUAAUUUUGCAAUAUUUCAAUUUUGCCCUUAAUUCUUCUUACUUUCUUGCUGAUUUCAUGCCUUUGCCGUCCGGCCCAAAUAGACAUUGGGUCUAUUUGCCUUUUAAGCCCUCUUCCUUUUAUCAUUUAAGCUAUUUAAUAAUUUCCCAUAAUUUUACAUUUGUUACAAUUUAGUCCUUUUUGUUCAAUUAAUAAUCGGAACUUUAAAAUUUCUUAACGAAACUUUAAUACUAACUUUUUAACACUCCAUAAAUAUUUAUAAAAAUAUUUAUGGCUCAGUUUAAAAUCUCUGAGGUCUCGAUACCUCUUUUUUUCUAAUUAUUUUAAUAUUUAUUUCUAGUGCACUAUUCACUAUUUCAAAAACUUUCUUAACUUCACAUUUAACUUAUAGUCACUAAAUUAAUAAUAUUUUCUACUCAUUUGUCGGAUUUAGUGAUCUCGAAUCAUCAUUUCGACACCCCUAAAAAUUCAGGCCAUUUUAUUUUUUCUCGUCGGAUUUGUGGUCCCGAAACCACUGUUCCGAUUAGACUCAAAAUCGGGCUAUUACAUAACGUCCCUUUUGUUUAGUGAGUUCUAGGGAAUAUGAUUUUGUAAGUGUAAAUAAUUGUAAAUACAUGUUUAAAGUUUUAUGCAAUAUUGAAAGUAAUGUAUGCUUAAAUGAUUUGGUCAUUUUGGUGAUUUAUCUAUGUUGUUUAUUUGGUAGGUGAAGUAGAGCUAAUUCUUAUAUCACAUGCGUUGUGAAUUGAAUAGGGAUAAUACAUGUAGGUUGUGCAUUUAGUAAAGCCAAUGGUUGUAGGUGAUGAUAUUACAUGUUUUAAGCUUGAUUUUGGUUGGUUUUGAAUGCCUAAUUAUGUCAUGGUCAUAUGCAAAUGGUUGUGUCUAGAUUGGUACCAAUUUGGGUGAGAAAUAUGGCUUGAAAAAUAGCUAUUUUUGUCUACACGGGUAAAGACAUGAGCAUGUGUCUUAGAAGUGUGUGACACACGGCCAGGUGACAUGGCCGUGUGUCCCUUGUAAUUUUAAAGAUUACAAGUCAGUAGGCUCACACGACCUAGCCUAUGGGCGUGUGGCUUGGUUGUGUGUCCCAAGUCAGUAUACCCACCAUUUUUCACAUAGCCUAGCACACGGGCAUGUGGCUUGGCCGUGUGUCACAAGUCAGUAUACUCAACAUUGUUCACACGGCCUAGCACAUGGGGGUGUGGCUUGGCCGUGUGACCCAAGUCAGUAAGCUCACUAGUUUGGACACAGGCUAGGACAGAGCGUGUUUCCUUAUUUUGAAUUUCCACAUGACCUAAGACAUGGGCAUGUCUCUUGGCCAUGUGAGACAUACAACCCUACCACACGGGCGUGUGUCCUCUACACCUUUGAAAAUUUUUUAUGUUUUCUGAAAAAUUCCUUGAGUACUUUAGUCUCGACUUAGUUUUAAUGUUUAUUUUGGGCCCCGAGGGUUCAAAUAAGGGUCAAAAUGUAUGAGUUUGAUUGGUUUUUACUUGAAUAUUAUAUAACAUGAAAUGCUUGAAAUUAUGUAUGUUUGAUCAGUAAUACCCCGUAACCCUACUUCGGCGAGGGGUACAGGUUUAGGGUGUUACAAUUCAACCGUGCAUUAAUGACUCUAAUAGUGUGGAGUUGACAAAGGAUUUUAAUGAAGAAGAGAUUGAGGAGGAUAUUAAAAGUAUGUCACCAAUGAAAGCUUCUGGAGAUGAUGGAUUCCCAGCCUUGUUUUAUCAAAAAUAUUGGAGUAUUGUGAGAAAGGAGAUUAUGACAUAUUGCAUUCAAGUUAUUAAUAGGAGACAAGGAUUGGAAAAGAUUAACCAUACAAAUAUAGUGCUAAUUCAAAAAAUUAAUUCUCCUACAAGUAUGACUCAAUUCAGACCAAUAAGCCUUUACAAUAUGCUUUAUAAAAUCCUAUCAAAGGUCAUUGUUAACAAGUUUAGAACAGUUUUAGACAAGUCUAUUGGUGAAGCUCAAGGCAUAUUUGUACCUGGAAGACAAAUAACAUAUAAUAUUCUUGUCGCUUAUGAGGUUUUACACUAAUUUAAAAGAAGGAAAUAUAGACACCAAGGCUCUUUUGCUCUUAAACUCGAUAUGAGUAAAGCUUAUGAUAGGGUGUAGUGCUACUUUCUACAAAAAGUAAUGAUUAAAAUGGGUUUUUGUAGUGAAUGAAUUGAGUUAAUAAUAACAUGUAUGACUACGGUGACUUAUUCGAUUAUCUUUAAUGGUGAACAAGGUGAAGCUUUCAAGCCAUCAAGAAAGCUACGACAAGGGGACCCGCUAAGUCCAUAUCUAUUUUUAUUAUGUGCUGAAGGCUUUUCAAGUCUACUUAGAGAAGCUAAGAGAAAGGGUUUGAUAAAAGGGGAAAGGGUUGGUAGGAGUAAAUAUGGGCUAACACAUUUAUUUUUUGCUGACGAUAGUAUUCUUUUUGGAGAUGUUACAAUUGAUCGGGCAAGUAAAAUGAAUGCUAUAAUAAAAGAAUAUGAAAGGGUCUAGGGUCAAUUGGUUAAUUUUGACAAGUCACUUAUCUACUUUAGUAUUAAUGUGUCUAACGAACAGAAGGAACAAAUAGGAGAAAUUUUAGGGGUCCGCAUUUCUAAUAACCCAGAAAAGUACGUUGGGCUUCCAACAAUAAUGGGCAGUAAAAAGAAAGUUGCAUUCACAAAUCUAAAAGAGAGAUUCAUCAAGAGAAUAGAGAAAUAGAGUACGAGGCAAUUAUUAAUGAGGGGAAGGAGGUAUUCAUAAAAGUAAUUUUACAAGUAAUUCCUAUUUUUGCAAUACAAUGUUUCUUAUUAUCAAGUUCUUUAUGCCGUGAGUUAAAUAACAUGAUUGUGAAAUUUUGGUGGUGUAAUGCACAUACAAAGAAGGGUAUACAUUAGUGUCAAUGGAGAAAGGUUUGUUGAUCGAAAGAGAGAGGGGAUUAGGAUUUAAAGACUUGUCCAAAUUUAAUAUAGUGUUGUUUGCGAAACAAGGAUUGAGACUAUUGUUAAAACCAGAUUGUUUAUUCGUAAAAGUUAUAAAAGUAAAAUACUACUCGAACACAGACUUUAUGAAUGCAAGUAUAGGAUCUUACCCAUCAUAUACUUGGCGCAGUAUAUAGAUAUCUAGAAGGUUGUUGGAACAAGGUUGUGGUUGACGAGUGGGUAAUGGUGCCAGCAUUAAUAUAUAGAACGAAAAUUGGUUAAUUGAGCCUGAACAAAAAAGAAUCCGAGGACAUGACAUUAAUACAAGAUAUACAAAGGUCGUUGAUAUACAAAGAAUUCAAAAACCUUUUUAAUGAAGAUACGUCGCGAAGAAUAUUAACCAUACCUCUUUCAAACAAUGCUCGAGAGGACCACUUGGUAUGGAGGGGCGGUAAUUCUGGCAUCUAUACGGUCAAGAGCAGACACAGAUGGCUCGAAGUAGCAGAUACAAUUCCCAAUGAUAAUUCUAUUGAGGUACAAAAAUUAUUAUUCAACAAAAUAUGGAGCCUAAGACUAGCCAGCAAAAUAAAAAUUACAUGCUGGAAAAUUCUUAAAAAUUCCAUGCUGACAUUAUCAAAUUUACAACAAAGAAACAUUAGUGUACAAAAUUUAUGCCCAAAAGUGUCUUUUUUCUGAACAAGUCAUGCAUAGUAUGAGAGUAUUAUUCUUGAUCGAUGAUGAAAAUCAGAAUUGGGAAACUUGGUUAGCUAUGGAAUUGUCAACUAGAGAUAUGCUAUAUCUAAGACAAGUAACAGUUACAUUUUAGGCACUAUGGUACAAUCACAAUAUGGUCUAUCAUAAUGGAACGAGACAAAAUGUUUUCAGAGUCAUUUCUUUCAUAAAUGCUUACAUUUCAGAGGUUGAUAACAUAAGGAUUUUAUCAAAAGACAUGCAAGAAAAAUCGAAGUCUAUUUGGCAAUCGACAGAAGAUGAUUAUGUGAAAGUAAAUUUUAAUGCAUGUUUUAACUAUCGUACAAAUAGCUUUGUUUCAGGAAUUAUUAUCAGAAAUAACGAAGGACUUAUAAUGGCAGCAAGCACUUACCCAAAUUCGCAUGUGAGAGAUGUGACAAUUGUAGAAGCACAAAGAAAAAUAAAUAAGUUCUUCUCUUUUAUUUUCAAAUUAUCAUCUUUGUCUUUUCUCUGUCAUAUUUCUUCUUUAUUUCUUUCUUUCUUCUUCUUGUCAACUAUUUUUUCUACUGUAAGUUGUUGUAAAUUCUUAAGUCAAAUUUAACCCGGUCCCAGCAAUUAACAAGGUAUCAGAGCCAACGAUCUACGAUGUCAAGCGACGACAUUGCUACUCGACUUAAAAAAGAUGUGGGAAGUCUGCAGCAAGCAUUGCAAAGCUGCAGAAGGAUGUUUCCCAGUGGAGCACAAAGUUGAAUGAUGGAUUGAAAGAGUUAAGGGUGGAAUUCAAUAAAGAAUUCAAGGUGGAGUUGAGAGAACUAAAAGAUGAGUUACUAGGGGAGAUCAAAUCUGAAAUGCAGGGACUACUAGAACUUUAUUUGGGUCAAUCGUCUACUUUCAUUGCUGGUGUGCAGCUAUCUAUUACAUCUUCUGCUAGAUAGUCGUGUGAUAAGGAGAAGGGGAUUCUUGAUGUUUUACUAAUCAAGUUUUUGCCUAGAAAAUAUCUCCUAACUCACAUUCGAAGGGAACUUAUUCCUUUUUUACCUAAGGUUGAUGACAAUUUGGGGUCCCAUGUGGAAGAUCACUUCUCUAAGUCGCACAAGCUAGAAUGUCCAUGUUUUGAAGGAUCCAAUUUCAAAGGUUGGUGGGCAAAAUUAAAACAAUAUUUUGAGGUCCAGAGGGUCUCUUCUAAUGCCAGGGUCUGAACAAUUAUGUUACACUUGGAGGGCAAAGCUCUUGACUAACACCAUUUUUAUGCACAACGGCAAUGGGACUUUCACAUGUUAGUUUGGGAAACUUAUGCAAUGAGCUUGCAUGAGCCUUUUGCAUUAGGUUAUUUUUAGGACCCCAUGUUUGACUUGGUGGUAUUAAAGCAACAUGGAAUGUUGGACCAAUAUCACAACACUUUUGUUAGCUUGUUGAAUCAAUUACAGUUGCUGGAAUCAUAUGCCUUAAGCAUAUUUACUAGUAACUUGAAAACUAAAAUAGAGAAAUAUUACAGUUGUUCAAGCCAAAAACGUUGGCAGAAGGAUUUCAAGUGGCACAUAAGGUGGAGGGCAUAUUGCAACAAUAUCUUGGGAGGCCACUCUUAAUGGGAAGUCCUACUUCUGUGAAGUCAUCAACUCAGAGUCAUACAAGUACUAUUUCUCAAACUUUUAAGCCUUGAGAAAUGCGUAAUGGUAGAGGUUCCACAGGGCCAAAAGCAGCUCACAAGUCAGCUCCGACGGUAAAUUCACCAAAGAAGUUUAACACGACAUUAUCAGUCAUAGAGAUUGACAAUAGGAGAAAAAAGGGAUUGUGCUUUUUGUAUGGUUCCAAAUAUAGUAUGGGUCGCAAAUGUGUUAGGUCUAAGCUAUAUCAGCUGCUGUUGGAGUUAGACUAGGAUGAGGAUGGGUAAGAGGCCCACGAGAAAUUAGAGCAAUUAGUGGGGUGCCGAUCGAAACGGUGACCCAAAAUCCUAUACUUUCGCUCCAUGCCAUCCAAGGAUCCCAAGGUACCCAUACGAUGAAGGUGGUAGCAUCAGUUGGAAAUGCUGACGUUAUUAUUUUGGUUUAUUCAGAAAGUACGCAUAAUUUUAUAGGAGCAAGAUGGGUGAGGCAGCUCACUAUACUCUUCAGUCAAAAGCAUAAGUUGAAGGUCAUGGUGGUUAAUAGGGGUAGUAUAUUCACCCAAGGUUUGUGCCAUGGGGUGAGAUGGGAGGCCCAAGGACUACGUUUUUUUACAGAUUUCUUUGUGCUACUGGUUAAAGGUUACGAUAUGGUUCUGGGGGUGUAGUAGCUUCUAUCAUUGAGGAGCAUUACUCGGGACUUUAGGGAUUCAAUAGGAUUUAAUCAGGAAGGAAAUAAAUUUUCGUUAUUGGGAGCAUUACGAUACGGUUCUGGUCUAUUAUAGCUUCUCUCGAGAUUGGAAGGUUGCUAGAAGUUUUUCUAUUGUAGGGAAUCAUUAGGGCCCCUAUACGCUCUUGAUAGUUAUAAUAGACCAAGCCUCAUUGCAAUUUCCACCUGAACCAAUUCUUAACGAUUUGCUCAAUCUCUUAGAGGCAUUCAAUGACGUGUUUCAACACCAGUUAUGAAACAUCCCUAACCCCGUAUUUGUCUUCGGAACAGGAUUACGAAGCAUUACUAGAAUUUACAGAUCAAAUAAACAGAUAAUUCAUAUCAUAUAGCAUUUAUAUCAGAAAUAAGUCAUGAUGUCCUUUAUAUGAGCUCCCGAGACCCAAAAUACAUGUUAAAAAUAAGUCGAGACUAACUGGGUACUUAGAAAAUUUUUCAGAAUACAUUAAAAUUUUCAAAAGUGCAGGGGACACACUCCCAUAUGGCCAACCCGUAUGGCCAGGCUGUGUGUCUCACAUGGUCAAGAGAUACGCUCGUGUCUCAGGCCGUGUGGACAUUUGAAAUAGGGACACACGACUGUGUCCUAGCCCAUUUCUGAAUUUAUGAGCUCUCUGACUUGGGUCACACGGUUAAGCCACACGCCCAUGUGCUAGGUGAUAUGAAUAAUUUGAGCAUUCUGUUUUGUAAUUUUUAAGAUUCAUAAUGUGUUUCUUGUAUCUAUGUUACGGCAGUAUCGAUCGAAUCCUUCACAUAUAAUUUCUUCGACAGAGGUUGAGAUUUAGCCCUAUAUGUCAUAUAAUGAAGAACCAAUCAGAAUCAUGGCACGAGAGAUCAAAGAAUUAAGAAACAAAAGAAUAGCCUUAGUGAAGCAUCGUCACAGUAUUGACGAGGCUACUUGGGAACCCGAGGAAACCAUGAGAAAACAAUACCCUAACCUAUUUUUUGGUAAGAUUUUUGGGGACGAAAAUUCCUAACGGGGGAGAGUUGUAGCGGCCCGUUUUUAGUGAAAUCUGGAUAGUGGUUUCGGGACCAUAAAUCUAAAGUAGAAAAAUUAAUUUUAAUAUUAUUUUAUAGACUACAGCAUGAUAGAAUUAUGGUAUAAAAAUUUCGUUAAGAAAUUUUACCGUUUGUAUGCUCAAUUUGUGGAAAAUGACUAAAUCGCAUAAAGUGCGAAAGUUGUGUUCUAUUAGCUAAAGGUGUCAAAUAGCUAUAGAACUUUAAAAUGGAGGUCCUUAAAUGGUAAUUAGACCAUUAAAUGAGUUAGCGGAUGAGCAUGGUUUGGUAAUUGUGCAAUUUUAAAGUUAGGUAAGGGUGAAUAGGUAAUUAGGUAAAUAAGUGAGAAAUUAAAUAAAAAAUAAAAAGCUUCAUCUUUCUUCAUCUUUAUAACCAAAGUUGGGAGGAAAAAACACCAUUGGAGAGCUUGAAAAUUUUGGAUAGUUUAUCCUUUGCAUGUAAGUGCAAUUUUGUUCCGUUUUUAUUGAUUUUUAUGUUUUCGGGUUCGUUGUAGCUUAAUCUAGCUAAAUAGGGGACUAAUUUGCAAUAUGAUUGAAAGUAUAGGGUUUUUAAUGAGAUAAUUUUGGUUGUUUUUAAAGUUUAAUGGAAGAAAUGAAUCUUUGUUGUUAAAUAAACAACUUUUGUUAAGUAAGUUUUGUUGCAAUUGUCAAAUAGGGAUUAAUUUGAGAAAGGUAAAAAUUGUGUGUUAAAUAUGUGAAAUUGUGAAAUGUAUGGGCUUCCAUAUGCAUAUAUAGAUUUCGGCUAGGCUUGGAUGUAAUGAAAUUGCAUGAAUUUCAUUUUUACGAGUCUAGGGACUUUGUAGAGAAGUAAAAUGUUUAGGGGCAAAAUGGUAAUUUUGUCAUAACAUGAAAUUUGGAUUGAAUUGAUUAGAAAAGUAAUUAAAUGAGUUAAAAAUUGAUUAUAUAGAUCAAGAAAAGCAAUAUUAAAAACUAAAUCGGGGAAAAGAUAAAGUCGUGGACUAAACAAUUGUAUUUCUCAGUACGAGUUUGAGGUAAGUUAGUGUAACUAGAUCUUGUAUUUAUAUUUUUUAAUCAAAAUAUAUGUAUGUGAAUGGUUUAAUUAUUAUGUAUAAUUAUCAAACGUAUAACCGACAAUAUACGAAGAAUAACAAACGUCGUUUGAACCUUAAAAAUUCGUAGCAUACAAAUGACAUUUCAUUAGGGUUACCGAUUCCAGCUCUUAUAAGCUUGUCGACACUCAGUUCGUAUGAGCUUACCGAUAUUCAACUUGCAGGAGCUUACCGUUUAUCGCCCGUAUAAGCAUACAUGUACAAGAAUUGAUGGAUUACAGUUCAGUACACCUCAUGUGUACCACCUGUGUAUCUAACAAUAUUCUAAGUAGUUCAACGGGCAUAGUGUUAUUACGAGAUUAUAUAAGUUUGAUACGAACUAUUACAGGUAUUUACAUGGAAAUGGUUUAUAUAUGUGAUAUACAGAUAUACUGUAUAAAUGUUACACGUACAUGAAAUUUUAUAAUUGUGAAAUUCAUGAAUGAUUCUCGAUUUUUAUAUGUAUACAUGGCUAACUUGGUAAAUGGUUAUGUGAUAGGCUUUGGCCAAAUUGAAUUGAGUUACUUACCUAAAUUUAUGGUUAUAUAGUAAGUUUAAUUAUAUGUUUUACGAACUUACUAAGCUUAAUUGCUUACUCCGUUUAUUUUUUCGUAUUUUAUAGUGUCUCGGAAGCUCUUUCAGAUUAGAAGUCGUCAAGGAUCGCAUCACACUAUCAAACACUUAUAGUGGUACUUUGGACUUUAUAUACCUUGGUUAAAUGACAUGUAUAGGUGUUUUGGCUAAUGUGGCAUAUAUGUCUUGUUGUGUUUUGGCCAUUUGAUUUGGUUUGUAUGGUGGACAUAUAUUUUGACAUGUAAAUGUGUAUAAAUGACCUUAUGAUAUGUGGUAUAUAUUUGCUAUGUGAAUGCCUUGUUUGUGAAUUGGUAUUUGGGUACCAAUUGAUUUAAAAUGAGAUGUGGUAAGCAUGUUAAGUUUUAGGCACAAUGUCUCAUAUAUGAGUUGACCAUUUAGGUAUGUUUUGGAAGUAUAUUUGGUAUGUUUUAAAGUGGUUAAUUGAUAUGCUUAUGGGUAUCAUGUUGUAUGUGUGGACAUUACAUGUUAUAAACUUGUUAUUGGCUAGUUUUGAAUGCCUAUUUAUGCUAAGGUAGUAUGCACAUUAUGAUGUCCAAGUUGGUAUUUAUUUAGGUGAGAAAUGUGGCUUGAAAAAUGACCUAUUUUUGUCCACAUGGGCAGACACACAGGCAUGUGUCUCAGCCGUGUGUGACAUACAGCCAAGUGACACGGUCGUGUGCCCCCUGAUACUUUUAUAGAAUUCAAGUUAGUAGCUUCACACGGCCUAGCACACGGCUUGGCACACAGGUGUGUGAGGCCAUUUCGAAGGAUACACGGCCUGGUACACAGGCGUGUGGGUUGGCUAUGUGACCCAAGUCAACGAGUUACAUGGGUUCAGACACGGGCUGGGACACGGCCAUGUGUCCCUAUUUCGAAUCCCCACACAACCUAGCCACACAGGCGUGUGUCCCUUACACAUUGAAAAGUUCUCAAAGUUUUUCUAAAAAUUCGUAGAGUACUCGGUUUGGUCCCGAACCAUUUUUAAGGUCUAUUUUGGUCAUCGAGGGCUCGUAUUAGGGACUAUAUCAAUAAAUUUAAAUGGUUUUUGAUUUGAAUGAUAAUAAAUAUGAAUUGUAUGAUUGUUUGAGUUGUAAGUGCGAUAAUACUCUAUAACCCUAUUUCGACAUCAGAUACAGGUUAAGGGUGUUACAUCGUGUCUCAAGAGUAAAGGGAAGUCAAUGGUAGGAUCUGAGCUAGAAAUACAAAAGGAAAUUUUUACUUUCUUUCAUAACAGUUCCUUAGGGGGCCACUCGGGCACUACUGCCACACGACAUCGCAUGGCAGGUUGGGUCUAUUGGAAAGGGAUGUCCAAAGACAUAAAAAGAUGGGUGAGAGAAAGUGGUGUCUACCAAAGGAACAAAUAUGAUCCAUCAGCUUCACUGAGACUCUUACAGCCACUGUCGAUACCUUCUAGAACGUGGGCAGAUAUAAGCAUGACUUUAUAAAUGGGUUACCAGUUUCAUAGGGGAAGGACACUAUAUGGGUAAUAGAAGACCGUUUGGCAAAAUAUGGGCACUUCGUGUCUUUGUCCCAUCCAUACUCAGUUCUAACAGUUGCUCAAGUUUACUUAGAUUAUAUUUUCAAACUCCAUGGUUUUCCGGACACCAUAGUUUUCGACAGGGAUAAGAUCUUUGUCAACAAUUUUUAGCAGGAACUUUUCACUAAGCUUGGGAUAAAACUUUACCAUUUAACUGCUUACCACUCGCAAACAGAAAAAAACAGAAGCCUUAAACAAAUGCCUCAAAAAUUAUUUGCGAUGCAUGACUGUGGAACGACCAAAGGAAUUGAGUUUUUGGAUGUCGUUAGCUGAAUGGUAUUAUAAUACCACUUUCCAUUCUACAUCAAGGAGAUGCCUUAUGAAACUUUAUACGGGCAAGCACCUCCACAUUAUCUGACAUAUUUAGCUGGUUCACCGAACGCGGCUUGUGUAGAUCAAAGCUUUCAACAACAAGAGGCUGCAAUGAAAAUGCUGCAAUUCCACCUCAAAUGGUUGCAGGAUAGGAUGAAACAUUUUGCGGAUAAGAGGGAGAGCGACCGGUAGUUCCAGAUGGGAGAAGGAGUUUAUCUGAAACUCUAACCAUACUGACAACAUAUCUUCCAGAGAGUCUUCAACCAUAAGUUAGCUCCUCGUUAUUUUGGGCCAUUCAAAGUGGAAGCCAAGAUUGGGGAAGUCACCUACCACCUCCAAACUCACGAGUGCAUCCAACCUUCCAUGUGUCCCAACUUAAGUGCCAUGUUGGCCAGAAACCAGUUCAACCUAUACUACCAGCAAUGGAUUGGGAUAAGACCCUUCCAAAGGAGCCAAUCCGAAUUAUAGAUAGAAGAUUGGUAAAGAUAGGAAACUAGGCAACGACCAAGGUGUUGAUCGAAUGGAAAAAUUUGUUUCCAGAAGAUGCUACCUGGGAGAAUUUGGUUGAUCUGGGACGUUGCUUUCCAACCUUCAAUCCUUGAGGUCAACGAUCCUGUCAACAAUGGGAGUAGUUACGUGCUCUUUUUACUAGUUGAUGUUAUUUCUUUCUAUUUUGAAUAAUACGGUGAGUUUGGAAACAUAUUAAAAUACAUGAUUUGGUUGGUUCUGAUCUUGUUGUCUGUAAAUACAUGGGAAUUUUGAUUUUUACAGCUUGUUUGGUUUGGUGUAUUGGCAUAGCCAAUACACCCCUAAUCGGUGGGCCCCACCUAAUCCGGGUGUAACACGUCGUUUGGUUUGAUGUAUUGGUAAUACGCACCUAAUCCAUUACCUUCUUAAUCGGUGAAAACCACCGAUUUCUAUUCCCCCUCUUUGCCCAGAUUAGCUACCGAUUGAGCAUCACCUCCCUGAUUUGCCCUCCCCCCAUCCCCUUGUUUCUCUUCUGUUCCUUCAUCUGAUUUCCUUCCUUAUUUCUUUGCUUUGGUUUUCUGCCGAUUUCCUCCCAGUCCAUUAUGCCUCUUUGCUGUCGAUUUGUUCCCUCUGUUUCCUUUCUUUUCUUUUUCGCUCUGCCACUCUUUCGAUUGCCUUCUCAACCAGUCGACCUUCUUCUUCUCAACCAGUCUCCAGGUUACUGCAACUGAAAGGUAAAGGAAUGGAAUCACUGUAAUGAGUUUCAACUCUCUCUUUUCUUUUCUUUUCUUUUCUAACUCUCUUUUCCUCUCUGUAAUUAGUUUCAAUGGCUGCCUUGUAGUGUCUUUAGCUUAAUUCUAGGUUAGCAGAUUCGAAUCACUGUCACCGUAGAAAGAAACCAACGGUGAAACCAAAAAAGCCGACGAUAUCCCCACUGUCACCGUAGCCAUCGCUGGUUCUAUCGUCGACAACGCUCAGUCUCUCGAGCUCGCCACUCGAGUAAUGGAAAAUCCCUCUGUUUCUCUUCACUCUUUCUACCCUAUGUUACAAAUUUUCAUUUAAUUUCUCCUUUUUCUUUCAGUUGGCGAGUCAAAUUGCUCGUGCUGCUACUAUUUUUCGGAUCAAUGAGUUUUUUUAACCUAAUUUCUUAUUUGUUUAAUGGUCUAAUUAUUGUUUUAGGCCAUCUAUUAUGCUGAAAUUUGAGAUGUUGCCUCCACUUGAUGCUCCACAUCAUCUGUGUAAGCAUGAGUGGGCUCCCUACCGGGAAGGUAAAGUUUGGCUGCUGCCUUUUGUGAUUGUUAUAGGUUUCUUACUAGGUCUAUAAUUGUUAAAAGGUGAAUUGUAGGAAGGAUAGAUGCGGACAGAUAAAUUGAUAUGCUUUUUAAAUGUAAAGAGCUUGGAUGUAAUUUGUAUGGGGAAUUGAUUGGAAACUGAGGUUACAGGCUUUUAUAAAGAAAUGAUAAGGUUAGGUUAGGUUCCAGAUUGUUAGGAACUUGGGUGCAGUUUCUAUGGGGAAUCUUAGCAAUCUGUUGCCUACUAGAAGACAUGCUUGAUCAAUGGUGAGCCUGAAUUGAAUCUUUGGCUGACUUCAUUUGUUGCGAUAACUUUAUAGGUGUCACACUUGAGGAAAAACACACAAGCUCUGUGGGAACAGUGGUCGAUGUAGGUUUAGAUAAGGUAUGUCUGUUCUUGUGCGAGUGUGACUCACUUUAACUUGCUGCCUGCAUAAUUUCUUUUCUUUUUAAUCAAGCGGCAAAUUUUAACCUUAAUAGGCAAAUUUUAAUGAUAGCUAUCAACUUAUUUGACCACAUACUGGUCCUUAAUGGCUAUAUUAUCCUGAAAAUCUUCUUGUUUGCCCCUUGAAGUUGUUAAUGGCUUACGGUUAUUGUCUUUUUUCUUUCGUACUUUUGGCUCAAACUUCUUUUUGAGCAUAGAAGUUAUGAAUGGAAAGAAAUUAAGUCUGUUGAUGAACAUUUAUUAAUUCUUAGUUGCUAAUUUCAUGCUGUUCAAUUAUUGGCAUUGCCAUAAAUUUUUUUAUAGUAUCAAGCACUAAAAAGAUUUUCAUAUAAAGCUGGCAAUGGGAAGGAUCAUAUUUGCUCUGAAUUAUUUUCUUGUACAAAGUUGUAGUUUCCUAUUUUGCAUUCAGAAAGCUCAAACAUGACUUAAAACUUAUAUAUAUAUAUAUAUAUAUUCUCUUGUUCAGAUUAAAUUUGUAUACUAAGGAGUGUGAUACUGAUAUAUUACUUAUGAACUGGUUUGGGCUAUUUCAUGGUUCUUUAUGCAGAAUGUUGUGGUUGAUCAAGCACUUGGGCCUGGAAAAAGAGUUACUGUUGCAAUGGGAACUAACCUAAACUUGGAUUAUGGUAAUAAAAUUGUUCUUAUACUAUUUCAUGUUUCAUUGUCAUGUAAUUGUUUUUCUGAAUUGUUUUUCUGAAUUUAGCUGAUUGCAUUGAUUGUUUUAAUUCAUAGGAUCAGUAAUGGACAUCAUUCAGCUUCAUUGUUUAGUUUUUGGUAUUGGUGCUCAUGACAUAGGCAGAGUAAGUAGAGAUUCCCUUCUGCUGAAAACGAGGAACAAGUAAGCUUUUGAUUUCUUCUGUUGAAUGCUUGCUUUAUAUUGUAGUUGAACUAAGAUCUUGAGGCAGUACUGCAACUUGUCAACAAAUAUGCCUUCUGGUUUUUGGUGCUUUAGAGGAAACAUGUGCUCUUGGCAAUUUAGCCUUCCUGGAGAGGUAAAUUACUUUUGAUUCAUUGUGAUUUUUUAGCAACCUUACCUCAUGGCCUUUUAUUUCCUAAUUUAUCAAUGCAUCAUAUAAAUCCAGAAUUGGCAGAGAUUACUUUUUCCCUUAACUUGUGGAAUGGACACAUGAAGUUGGAGGUUAUUUUUAAUGGCAACUUUGGAUAGUAUUCGUUUUCCUGUUAGAUUGGUGAGCUAUUUUGUUUGAAGGGAAGAAUCAGUUUCAUGGAAGGCCAAUUGGAGUUGAGAGCAGGGUGAAAGAGAUAUUGUAUCGGCUUGAAUUUCUUCUAUUGAAUGCUUGCUUUAUAUUUUUAGUUGAAGUGAGAUAUUGAGGCAGUACUUCCGUUUAAUUCAGAAUUGUUGUAAAUUCAAUCGAGUUCUUGAUGAUAAUUCGAUAUGGUUAUGUUUUUUUUAUUUUUUAGAGUUCAAUUCUUACUUACUUAUUAAAUUUUAUUAGUUAUAACCAGCGCUUGUCCAGAAUGGUGAUUAAAUUAUUUAUUAUUCAUAUUAAUAAUCUUAUCAAAAUUUAAAUAACAAUAACAAUAAUAAUUUACCAAAACAAAUUUCUGGUAAUUAUUAAGAAUUUUAUUAAAUUAUAUAUUUUAAUUAAAAUAUGUUUAAUAAUAAUUAUGUUUAAAUAUGAUUAAAAUAUUUAUUAUUGAUAAUAAUAAUCUUAUUAAAAUUUAAAUAACAAUAACAAUAAUCAUUUACCAAAACAAAUUUAUGCUAAGGGUAUUCUAGUCAUUUUAGUUUUUUCCACUAUGCUAUUACACCUCUAUUCUAUUCAACCAAACACAAGAUUACUAUUACGCCUCUAUUCUAUUACAUUCAACCAAACAGUUGAUUUGCUAUUACACCUCUAAUCUAAUACACCUCUAAUCCAAUACACUUCUAAUCCAAUACACCUCUAAUCCAAUACAGCGAACCAAACGCACCUUAGGGAUUGUAAUAGCUCCAAGACUAUUAUAUAAGCAGGGAAGGGUGUUGAGGACACAGUGAAAAUAAAUAAGUUCUAUUUUAU